rnacentral:rRNA from 1 species
UACGUAGGGGGCAAGCGUUGUCCGGAUUUAUUGGGCGUAAAGCGCGCGUAGGCGGCGCGGUAUGUCGUGCGUGAAAUCUCCCGGCUUAACUGGGAGGGGCCGUGCGAAACUGCCGGGCUUGAGGUCGGAAGGGGAAAGUGGAAUUCCGGGUGUAGUGGUGGAAUACGGUAGAUAUCCGGAGGAACACCAGCGGCGAAGGCGGCUUUCUGGUCCGAUACUGACGCUGAGGUGCGAAAGCGUGGGGAGCGA